rnacentral:tRNA from 1 species
GAGGGUAUAGCUCAGGGGUAGAGUGCCUGCUUAGCAUGCAGGAGGUCCUGGGUUCAACCCCCAGUACCUCCA